AGGUUAUACUUGAGGUUCCAAAGGUAAACUGGGAUGAUGUCGGAGGGCAGAGGGAGGUUAAGAUGCAACUUAUAGAAGCUGUUGAAUGGCCUCAAAAACACCAGGAGGCUUUCAACCGCAUUGGCACUCGUCCUCCUACUGGAGUUUUGAUGUUUGGUCCUCCAGGAUGCAGCAAAACAUUGUUAGCUCGUGCAGUUGCUUCUGAAGCAGGGUUGAACUUUCUUGCGG
rnacentral:misc_RNA from 1 species